rnacentral:lncRNA from 1 species
GUAGUACUUUUCUUGAUUCAUUUGUUUCUUGUUUUGAUUUGAGUGCUUAAUCUGAAUUCUGUUUUGAUUUGAUCCUUUGGUGCAUUUUUUUCCUUUUAGUUUGAGUUCAUAUUUGUGUGCUAGAUCCAUACAAAUUCCAUCACAUUCAUUCCAUUGUGUUUUUGAAGUAUCUCAUUAUGUUUUUAAUUCCAGAUUUAGAAUCCUCUGUUUUUAACCAAUUAUGUUCUGGCUGUUUUGUUUUAUGAAAAUUAAAUACAUCAAAAGAAAAUUAUGAGAUUCUGGAUUUCAGUGAUUUGAAGUGUUAGCAAACAAAAACAAAAAGAAUUAGUUGUAAAAACAAAAUAGAAAAAAAAAGGUAAAUCACACAAAAAAAAGUGUGCAUUCUGGCGCUGGAACUAGCGAUAAUUGGGCACUGUUUUUGGAAAAAUUAUCACAAUUAAUUUGUGCAUGUGAUUGGAGUGAAACCAACGACAAAAGUUUGUUAAGACACUGAAUUGUUUGUGUUUAAAUUUUCAGAAACAAAUACAAAAUAGCCAGCUCAACAUAAAUAUUUAAAGUCACGCUUUCUGGAUCACAAUAUUUUCAGUAGUGCUGUUUUGGUUUUUCAAAUCAAUUCUAGUGUCAAUCUUUAGGUUCCUUUUGUGUGCCAACCUUUAUUGAGUGCCUAUUUUUUUUAUUUGCUUGUCUAAUUUCAUUCUGAACUCUUUUUAGUUGUGUCACAUUAUUAAAUCCAAUUGCAGUGGUGCUGUUUUUAAAUUUUAAUUGUUUCUUGCUUUCUUUUCUUGACCUCUAAAAUUGUUGGUGGAUAAAUAUCAAUUGGUGCUUGUUGAGUGGGAUUUGACUUGAGGAGAGUCUAACUCUACUUGGUAGGUACUGUUUUGAAGAAUUUAAUUGCUUAAAUCAAAGAGGAUCAAGGCAAGGGGCAGCCUCAAAUACAAAUACCAAAAUACACCAUACACUUUGAAUGGCACAACAAAGAAGAGUAACAACAAGUCAAAGGAGUGCCUUGCUGAAAUUUAAUUUGUGCAAUUUAAUUUCUUUGCAUUUCUUGAAUUGUAAUUACAUUUUACUCUUGUUAAUUAGUGGAUUGAUCACGAAUUAGACGGUGGGUGUGUCUUCAAAGGCUCAAAGUGAUUAAUCCACUAAUUUCUCGGAUUGGGCUUUUGGGUUUGGGCUCUUUAAGUGUUGCUCUCCAGGUUGGGCUUUCGGCUUCUCCUCUCACAGUGCUGCUCUUCAGGUUGGACUUUCGAUUUCUCCUCUCAUAGUUGGGUGUGUGUAUCUGUAAGGCGCUCCGAUGACAAAGUCAAAAAUAGUUUAUACAUUCAUCAGAUAAAAUUCACUCUUACUUAUUUUUUGGGUUGAACAUCUAUUUAUAAGACUCUCUUAUUGGGCUUAUAACUUAUUUGGACUUUUCAUUUUGUACCACUUAUUAUUUUAAACACACAUUAA